rnacentral:pre_miRNA from 1 species
GGGAGGAGCGCAGGAUCCUGGGCUCUGUCCCCCGGCGCCCAGGGCUCCGGGGCCUGCGCCGCUGGAAUCACGCUCCCGGGCAGUGCCCCCC